CCUACGGGGGGCAGCAGUGGGGGAUAUUGGACAAUGCGGGAAACUCUGAUCCAGCGACGCCGCGUGAGUGAAGAAGUAUUUCGGUAUGUAAAGCUCUAUCAGCAGGGAAGAAAGAAAUGACGGUACCUUUGUAAGAAGCCCCGUCUAACUACGUGCCAGCAGCCGCGGUAAUACGUAGGGGGCAAGCGUUAUCCGGAAUUACUGGGUGUAAAGGGAGCGUAGACGGAAAUGCAAGUCUGGAGUGAAAGGCGGGGGCCCAACCCCCGGACUGCUCUGGAAACUGUGUAACUGGAGUGCAGGAGAGGCAGGCGGAAUGUCUAGGGUAGCGGUGAAAUGCGUAGAGAUUAGGAGGAACACCAGUGGCGAAGGCGGCCUGCUAGACUGUAACUGACGUUGAGGCUCGAAAGCGUGGGGAGCAAACAGGAUUAGAUACCCCUGUAGUC
rnacentral:rRNA from 1 species